CCUCCCAGAGUUUGCUCAAGUUCAUGUUGAUUGAGUUGGUGACGCUAUCAAACCAUCUCAUCCUCUGCCACUCAAAAGGGAGAAGCCUCUAAUUUUGGCAGAUCCAGGACACACCCUUCACCAGAAAAUACAUGCUUUUCUCAUACUAUACAUAAUGAACAUGAAGCUUUUCAGUAAAAUGAUGAGCUUAACACCCUUUAAUAAUAUGGACGCCAUGAAAAUGAAAAUGUACUCAACCUUGUCAGUAAUCAGUAAAAUGAAGAGCGAUGAUUUGUACUGGUGUUAUCCGACUGAAAUCCCAAGUUUGUGCAGGCUCUACUGAGGUAUAAGCUACGUUUUUUCCUGCUGGACUUAAACCUGGACGGAUAUAGGGUGAUGCUGUUACCGUCUUGCCACCAUAAAGGGAAAGCUUGUCUGAGACUGGAGCUAUACCAGAGGAAGGAGAGACUAGAUGGAGAGGGGGAAAGAGAGAGAGAGAUCAGAGCCUGACAAUACCAGUGGAGUCCCAGGAUCAAGUUAUACCUGAGGCUGGUACUCCUCUGGACUUCUCAGUUAAGUGAGCUAAGUUUGAGACUGAUUUUCUACCUCUGGCAAGAGUUCUAGCCAACAAAAGCAUAGUAAUAGGGGAGAAAAGGCCCAUGAUAUUUGUCACUUUUGAGUGUUUACUGCAUACUGUUAUAAGCUCUUCAUUUAAUCCUCCCAACAAGCCUGUGAGGUAGGGUACUGUUGUUUCUUUUGGUUGCAUUGGGUUCCUUGUGGCUACAUGUGGGCUUAGUUGCCCCUCGCAGCAUGUGGGAUCUUAGUUCCCUGACCAGGGAUUGAACUCGUGUGCUCUGCAUUGGAAGGCAGAUUCUUAACCACUGGAUCACCAGGGCGGUCUCAGGAUAGGCCAAUCUUAUCGUCAUUUUACAAACAAGGAAACUGAAGGAACUGAAGGUUCAAGAUCACACAGCCAAGUUUGACCCAGGUAGUCUGGCCCCAGAGCUUGUACUCUGAACUACUGUCUCAUCAGAACUCUUGUUGCUUUCUCUGCAGUUGAUCAAGCCUGGCUUUGCCUGAAGGUCUGUGUGCAGAGCCAGUGGGAUCCUGGACAUGCAGUCUACGAGGAAAAUCCACAUGGUGUUUUCAGAUUCAUUGUCUUUCUGCAUUUAGAAGCUGAUGAUGAUUUUCCAUUCUUCAGUAAAAUGCUAUGGGAUUAUUUUGGGACACGGAUUUGCAGUGUAUGCUCAGCAGCCAGUGACAGCCUCCUGUUCUAAGAGAAAAAUGGACACUUUGGUUCCCAGCCAUUCUGCCAGAGAACCGAAGAUCACUGCAGUUUGGUUUUUACAGACUCUGUACCACUCUUGCAGCCUGGGACUCUGAGGUGCAAACUUGGCCAGCCCAGUGAGGAAGUACUACUGCUCAUUGACCUCUGUGAAUAUGCCCAAAACAUCUUGCUCCAGAAUAAACUCGUGCUUUGCUGAUGAAAUGAAACAUACUGGGGCCACACUCAGAAUAGAAUGUCCUUGGCCCGGUGAUCCCUUGUGAGCUGCUGACAAGAGCCGGAGAGCGGGCACUGCCACGCUCCGUACUUGGAGCUCCUGACUGAGGGCAAGAGCCUUCAGAAUAUGAAGCCGAAAGCUGUGCUGGGAGACAGGCUGUGGGGGCAUGCGCAGGCUCCCUGGACAAUUUACAGAAGGAAGUCCUGUACUGAGAUGAAGGGGACAGUACCGGAAUGGGAAGCAGAUGGGAAGAAGCAAGUCCCUUCCUCCUCCAGCCUUGCAGGCUCUCUCUUCUAGCAUCUUCUUUUGGCAGUUCCUUUCAUGUGGUUUGCAGUGUCCGAAACCCAGCGUCACAAGGCCAAGAGGCAGUUCCUGUAGUCCAGAACUGAAGUGUAAAGCCUUGAUCAGAUUCAUUCAUUUUUGUCAAGAAUACGGCACGGGGGUGAUGUGCAUUUCAGGGCAAUGCGGAUUUUAGCAUAUGAGUUUUCAUCUCAUCUUAAGACAUUUAUUAACUUCAGACAUACUUUUGUGCCCUUGGGAACCAAAGCUGAACAACUGUCAUGAAAGUGGGGGAAGAGCAACCAUUUUCAUUGUAACAGGCGCUGCCCAUCAGUUCUGGUAGAACUUGCCCUCGUCCCCCUCGUGCACCAAGCCCUCCCCAGUCACCUUCUGGCAUCAUCUGGAGAUAUCCUGUACUGUGUCCUGGAACGUCUACUCACGGAGAUGCAAGCGUCCUGUUUUGCUAUCUUCUGGGUCCCCCACGAGCCCUGCAGGCCAUGUGGAAGACAGUCGGACAUCUGUCAGCCUCUGGUUGCAGCCAUGGAUACAAGUCUAGGGGAGACCAGCUGAAGAAACACCAGCUGGGCCCAGGCCAAAUUGCUGACAUCCAGAACGGUAGCUAAUAAAUGAUUGCUUUAAGCCACUAAGCUUUGGGGUGGUUUCUUAUGGAGCGAAGGCUAACUGGUACAUGUGCCCUUUGAUGGGGGCAGCUCCUACUUAGCUCCAGCCUAGAGCUACCAGGCUAGAGUAUGGUACCACUAUUUUGGGCUUCCCUGGUGGCUCAGAUGGUAAAGAAUCUGCCUGCUAUGCAAGAGA